UACGGGGGGAGCAAGCGUUGUUCGGAUUUACUGGGCGUAAAGGGCGCGUAGGCGGUCGUGACAAGUCACUUGUGAAAUCUCCGGGCUUAACUCGGAACGGUCAAGUGAUACUGUCGGACUAGAGUACAGAAGGGGCAACUGGAAUUCUCGGUGUAGCGGUGAAAUGCGUAGAUAUCGAGAGGAACACCUGCGGCGAAGGCGGGUUGCUUGGGGCUGAUA
rnacentral:rRNA from 1 species